rnacentral:rRNA from 1 species
UACAGAGGUCCCAAGCGUUGUUCGGGUUCACUGGGCGUAAAGGGUGCGUAGGCGGCUUUUUAAGUUUGGUGUGAAAUCUCCCGGCUCAACUGGGAGGGUGCGCCGAAUACUGAGAGGCUAGAGUGUGGGAGAGGAAAGUGGAAUUCCUGGUGUAGCGGUGAAAUGCGUAGAUAUCAGGAGGAACACCGGUGGUGUAAACGGCUUUCUGGACCAUAACUGACGCUGAGGCACGAAAGCGUGGGUAGCAAACAGG